GAACUGCGAUAAGUAAUGUGAAUUGCAGAAUUCAGUGAAUCAUCGAGUCUUUGAACGCACAUUGCGCCCCCUGGCAUUCCGGGGGGCAUGCCUGUCCGAGCGUCAUUGCUGCCCUUCAAGCCCGGCUUGUGUGUUGGGUCGUCGUCCCCCCCGGGGGACGGGCCCGAAAGGCAGCGGCGGCACCGUGUCCGGUCCACGAGCGUAUGGGGCUUUGUCACCCGCUCGAUUAGGGCCGGCCGGGCGCCAGCCGGCGUCUCCAACCUUAUUUUUCUCAGGUUGACCUCGGAUCAGGUAGGGAUACCCGCUGAACUUAAGC
rnacentral:misc_RNA from 1 species